UUGGAGGGCAAGUCUGGUGCCAGCAGCCGCGGUAAUUCCAGCUCCAAUAGCGUAUAUUAAAGUUGUUGCAGUUAAAAAGCUCGUAGUUGAAUUUCGGGAUCAAUAUAUCGGUCGUGCCAUCGGUACGUACUGGUAUGAUUGGUUUCUCCUUUCUGACGAACCAUGAUGUCAUUAAUUUGGUGUUAUGGGAAGUUAGGACUGUUACUUUGAAAAAAUUAGAGUGUUUAAAGCAGGCUUUGGCUUGAAUACAUUAGCAUGGAAUAAUGAAAUAGGACGUUCGAACCUAUCUUGUUGGUUUCUAGGAUCAACGUAAUGAUUAAUAGGGGUAGUUGGGGGCAUUAGUAUUCAAUUGUCAGAGGUGAAAUUCUUGGAUUUAUUGAAGACUAACUACUGCGAAAGCAUUUGCCAAGGAUGUUUUCAUUAAUCAAGAACGAAAGUUAGGGGAUCGAAGACGAUCAGAUACCGUCGUAGUCUUAACCAUAAACUAUGCCGACUAGGGAUCGGACGAAGUUAAUUUUAUAAUGACGCGUUCGGCGCCUUACGGGAAACCAAAGUGUUUGGGUUC
rnacentral:rRNA from 1 species